UCCGUAGCCACUGCUAUCUCCUUGUCCUUUUGAAGAACCUUUAUCUUCCUCGAAUUAGAGCUCUCUCCCUUGUGGCCCAAAGCAUUGCAGAUGUUGCACCUAGGAGGCAACCAGGGGUAGCAUACAUCAAUCACCACUUGCACACCAUCCUUGUCCACAAAGCUGAUCUUCUCCACCAGCGGCUUAUUGAGGUCAAUCUCAACAAGAACUCAAGCCACGUCAAGCCAC
rnacentral:lncRNA from 1 species